rnacentral:tRNA from 1 species
GCAAAAAUAGCUCAAUGGUAGAGUAUAACCUUGCCAAGGUUAAUGUUGAGGGUUCGAAUCCCUCUUUUUGCU